rnacentral:lncRNA from 1 species
UGUAGAAGGGUAAAAAGGUAAAUUCAAAUUUGACGUCAUUAGUCGAUGUGAGACUUAUCUUACACUUCUGACUGAUAUCGAAUGAUAACACACUAGUACUGAUAACUCGUCGGAUCCAAAAUCACUGACCCAAAAUGUUUAAGCACAGUUGCUGUUAUUAGAGCCUUUGUUUCUAAUAUUAUCAUUUGAUCACAAUUUCUUUUCCAUACGAUGUAGAACUAUUGGGGCAUCACAAGCAUUAAAAGGCGGAAUAAAUAGGGAAUAAUUUAGAAUAAG